UAGCUAGUUGGUGAGGUAAAGGCUUACCAAGGCGACGAUCUGUAGCGGGUCUGAGAGGAUGAUCCGCCACACUGGAACUGAGACACGGUCCAGACUCCUACGGGAGGCAGCAGUGGGGAAUUUUGGACAAUGGGGGCAACCCUGAUCCAGCCAUGCCGCGUGAGUGAAGAAGGCCUUCGGGUUGUAAAGCUCUUUCGGCCGGGAAGAAAUCGCAUGGGCCAAUACCCUGUGUGGAUGACGGUACCGGAAUAAGGAGCACCGGCUAACUACGUGCCAGCAGCCGCGGUAAUACGUAGGGUGCGAGCGUUAAUCGGAAUUACUGGGCGUAAAGCGUGCGCAGGCGGUUUUGUAAGACAGGCGUGAAAUCCCCGGGCUUAACCUGGGAACUGCGUUUGUGACUGCAAGGCUAGAGUACGGCAGAGGGGGGUGGAAUUCCACGUAUAGCAGUGAAAUGCGUAGAGAUGUGGAGGAACACCAAUGGCGAAGGCAGCCCCCUGGGUCGAUACUGACGCUCAUGCACGAAAGCGUGGGUAGCAAACAGGAUUAGAUACCCUGGUAGUCCACGCCCUAAACUAUGUCAACUAGGUGUUGGGUGGGUAAAACCAUUUAGUACCGUAGCUAACGCGUGAAGUUGACCGCCUGGGGAGUACGGCCGCAAGGUUAAAACUCAAAGGAAUUGACGGGGACCCGCACAAGCGGUGGAUGAUGUGGAUUAAUUCGAUGCAACGCGAAAAACCUUACCUACCCUUGACAUGCCAGGAACUUGCCAGAGAUGGCUUGGUGCCCGAAAGGGAGCCUGGACACAGGUGCUGCAUGGCUGUCGUCAGCUCGUGUCGUGAGAUGUUGGGUUAAGUCCCGCAACGAGCGCAACCCUUGUCGUUAAUUGCCAUCAUUUAGUUGGGCACUUUAACGAGACUGCCGGUGACAAACCGGAGGAAGGUGGGGAUGACGUCAAGUCCUCAUGGCCCUUAUGGGUAGGGCUUCACACGUCAUACAAUGGUCGGUACAAAGGGUUGCCAAGCCGCGAGGCGGAGCCAAUCCCAGAAAGCCGAUCGUAGUCCGGAUUGCAGGCUGCAACUCGCCUGCAUGAAGUCGGAAUCGCUAGUAAUCGUGGAUCAGCAUGUCACGGUGAAUACGUUCCCGGGUCUUGUACACACCGCCCGUCACACCAUGGGAGCGGGUUCCGCCAGAAGUAGGUAGCCUAACCGCAAGGGGGGCGCUUACCACGGCGGGGUUCGUGACUGGGGUGAAGUCGUAACAAGGUAGCCGUAGGGGAACCUGCGGCUG
rnacentral:rRNA from 1 species